rnacentral:tRNA from 1 species
GUUCUCGUAGCUCAGAGGAUAGAGCAACCGCCUCCUAAGCGGUAGGUCGCGCGUUCGAAUCGCGCCGAGGACA